CCGUUGCACACGAGUCAGUCGAUCCUAAGCCCUAGGAGAAAUCCGAUGCAUGCGGGCCGCUGGCCCCGAGGGGCGAAAGGGAAUCCGGUCCCUAUUCCGGAACCCGGUCGCGGAACCGUCUCACGUCGGGCCCCCGGCUUCGGCCGGUAGCUCGUCGGGGUAACCCAAAAAGACCCGGAGAAGCCGUCGGGAGGUCGGGGAAGAGUUGUCUUUUCUGUUUGAGCGUUCGGGUUCCCUGGAAUUGCCUAGCGCAGAGAGAGGGAAUGGAGCGCGUAGAGCACCGCAGUUGCGGCGGUGUCCCGACAUGCCCUUCGGACCUUGAAAAUCCGGGGACGGGCCACGUGGAGGUAUCGCGCCGGAUCGUACCCAUAUCCGCAGCAGGUCUCCAAGGUGAAGAGCCUCUA
rnacentral:rRNA from 1 species